CGGACGGGUGAGUAACGCGUGGAAAACCUGCCGUAUACUGGGGGAUAACACUUAGAAAUAGGUGCUAAUACCGCAUAAGCGCACAGCUUCGCAUGAAGCGGUGUGAAAAACUCUGGUGGUAUACGAUGGUUCCGCGUCUGAUUAGCUAGUUGGUGGGGUAAUGGCCUACCAAGGCAACGAUCAGUAGCCGGCCUGAGAGGGUGAACGGCCACAUUGGGACUGAGACACGGCCCAAGCUCCUACGGGAGGCAGCAG
rnacentral:rRNA from 1 species